ACAAAAAAAGAAUGAAACAGAAAGCAUGUAUUCAAUUAAAGUUUCCUUAUAUCAACAGAUGCUUCCUGGGAAAAGUAAAUUCUCAUCUGUCAAGAUGUUGACACAACCUUUUCUGUGUAUGUUUAUCUUACAUUAUUUAUUGGUGCACUACUGUUUGUGUUAACUAUGUAAAUUGUAUAACUUGUUCAUAAUUGUAACAUAUUGUUGAUUGCUUUUAAUUUGUGUAAGCUUCCAUUAUGAAAGCUGUAUUUGAAAGUGCAAUAUCAAAUAAAGACCCAAUAAAAAUACAUAAAGACACUUUGUAUCUUUGUUCAUGUUUUUCCUUGUUUGUAUAGUCUUUAAGGUUUUGUAUGGAUUUAAUAUUUGGAAUGUGUGUACCCCACCUCAAUGACAGGUGGUGUAAAAAAAAAUGAAAAUAUGACUAAGUGACA
rnacentral:lncRNA from 1 species